UACGGGGGGGGUAAGCGUUGUUCGGAAUUACUGGGCGUAAAGGGCUCGUAGGCGGCCAACUAAGUCAGACGUGAAAUCCCUCAGCUUAACUGGGGAACUGCGUCCGAUACUGGAUGGCUUGGAUUUGGGAGAGGGAUGCGGAAUUCCAGGUGUAGCGGUGAAAUGCGUAGAUAUCAGGAAGAACACCCGUGGCGAAGGCGGUUCUCUGGGACGGUACUGACGCUGAGACGCGAAAGCGUGGGGAGCGAACAGG
rnacentral:rRNA from 1 species